rnacentral:lncRNA from 1 species
AGAAUUUGCCCAUUGCAGACUCAAAGGACCAGACUGACAAUGCAAUUCCAUGCGAUACCAACAAUGAUAUUGCUGACUAUGCAACAGUUGAGGAAAAACCUGAAGAAACAGUAGUUGAAGAAAAACAUGAAGAACCUGCAAUUGAAAAGAAAUUUGAAGAAUCAACAGUUAUGGAGAAACCUGAAGAACCAGCAGUGGAAGAAAAACCUGAAGAACCAACAGUUAAAGAGGAACCUGAAAAAUCAGUGAUGGAAGAGAAACCUGAAGAACCAAUUGUUGAGGAGAAACUUGAAGAACCAACUGUUGAAGAGAAACCUGAAAAAUCACUGAUUGAAGAAACACCUGAAGAACCAAUAUGGGAAGAAACACCUAAAGAACUAGCAUUUGAAGAGAAACCAGAAGAACCAGCAGUUGAAGAGGAGAAACCUGAAAAGGUAACUCUUUUGGAAGAGGUGAGUAUCAAGCAUUAGCACAUAGUUUAUCCAUCAUGUUAUUUCUGUAUGUGCAUCGAUUCACAUCUGCUUAUCUAUUGAAAGUCUAAAUGAGACUUUAAAUUCUUCUUGCAGAAUAUACCAGCUGUAGAUUUCAACGACAAGACUGACCGUGAAAUUCCAUGCGAUACCAACAAUGAUAUUGCUGACUAUGCAACAGUUGAGGAAAAACCUGAAGAACCGGUAGUUGAAGAAAAACAUGAAGAACCUGCAAUUGAAAAGAAAUUUGAAGAAUCAACGGUUAUGGAGAAACCUGAAAAACCAGUGGUUAAGGUACAACCUGAAGAACCAGCAGUGGAAGAAAAAGUUGAAGAACCAACAGUUAAUGAGGAACCUGAAAAAUCAGCGAUGGAAGAGAACCCUGAAGAAUCAAUUGUUGAGGAGAAACUUGAAGAACCAACUGUUGAAGAGAAACCUGAAAAAUCACUGAUUGAAGAAACACCUGAAGAACCAAUAUGGAAAGAAACACCUAAAGAACUAGCAUUUGAAGAGCAACCAGAAGAACCAGCAGUUGAAGAGGAGAAACCUGAAAAGGUAUCUCUUUUGGAAGAGGUGAGUAUCAAGCAUUAUCACAUAGUUUAUCCAUCCUGUUAUUUCUGUAUGUGCGACGAUUCACAUCUGCUUAUCUAUUGAAAGACUAAAUGAGACUUUAAAUUCUUCUUGCAGAAUAUGCCAGCUGUAGAUUUCAACGACAAGACUGACUGUGAAAUUCCAUGCAAUACCAACAAUGAUGUUGCUGAAUAUGUAGCAAUUGAGGAAAACCUUGAAGAACCAGCAGUUGAAGAAAAACAUGAAGAACCAACAGUUGAGGAGAAACCUGAAGAACUAGCAGUUGAAGAGAAACCCGAAAAACCAACAAUUGAGGAGAAACAUGAAGAACCAAUAGUUGAGAAGAAACCUGAAGAACCAGUAGUUGAGGAGAAACCAGAAGAACCACUAAUUGAAGAGGAGAAAUCUGAAAGGGUAACUUUCCUAGAAAAGGUGAGGAUCAAGCAUUGUCAAAAGGUUUAUCCAUCUUAUUAGUUGUGUAUGUGCGACGAUUCACAUCUGCUUACUUAUUGAAAGACUAAGUGAAACUUCAAAAUUCUUGCAGAGUAUGCUAGUUGUAGACUCGAACGACAAGACUGACAGUGAAAUUCCAUGCAAUACCAACAAAGAUGCUGCCCACUUUCCCGAAGUUGAGGCAAACCCUGAAGAACCAGCAGUUGAAGGAAAACCUAAAGAACCCGUUGAUGAAGAGAAACCAGAUGUACCAGUGGUUGAGAAACCUGAAAAACAAAUGGUUGAGGAGAAACUUGAAGAACCAAUGAUUGAGGAGAAAUCUGACGAACUAGUCGAGGAGAAAUCUCAACAACCAGCGGCUGAAAAGAAACCUGAAGAACCAGCAGCUAAAGAAUCACUUAAAGAGCUAGCAGGGGAGGAAACAACUGAAGAACUAGCACUUGAAGAGAAACUUAGAGAACCAACAGUUGAAGAACUAGUUCUUGAAGAUAAACCUGAAAACCCAGAAAAUGAAGAGGAUAAACUUGAAACAGUAACUCUCCAGGAAAAGGUAAGAAACAAGCAGUGUCACAGAGUUUAUCCAUCCUAUUAGCUCUACAUAUGCAAUGAAUUCACAUCUGUUUAUCCACUGAAAGACUAAGUGAAACUUUAAAUUUUUCUUGCAGAAUUUACCAAUUGCAGACUCAAACGACAAGACUGACAAUGCAACUCCCUGCAAUAACAACAAUGAUAUUGCUGACUCUGCAGCAGUUAAGGAAAAAACUGAAGAACCAGUAGUUGAGGAAAAACAUGAAGAACCGGCAACUGAAGAGAAAUCUGAAGAAUCAGAAUUUAUGAAAAAAACUGAAGAACCAGCGGUUGAGGUAAAACCUGAAGAACCAUCAGUGGAAGAGAAGCCUGAAGAACCAGCGGUUAGGAAAAAUCCUGAAGAACCAGCAGUUAAUGAGGAACCUGCAAAAUCAGCAACGGAAGAGAAACCUGAAGAACCAAUUGCUGAGGAGAAACUUGAAGAACCAACUCUUAAAGAGAAACCUGGAAAACCAGUAAUUGAAGAAACACCUGAAGAACCAACACUGGAAGUAACACCUAAAGAACAAGCAGAGAAACCUGAAGAACCAGUUGAAGAGGAAAAAACUGACAAGGUAACUCUUUUGGAAAAGGUGAGCAUCAAACACUGUCACAAAUUUUUGCCAUCAUAUUAGUUCUGUAUGUGCAACAAUUCACAUCUAAUUAUCCAUUGAAAGACUAAGUGAAACUUUAAUUCUUCUUGCAGAAUAUACCAGUUGUAGAUUUCAAUGAUACGACUGACAGUGAAAUUCCAUGCAAUACCAACGACGAUGUUGCUGAAGACGUAGCAGUUGAGGAAAACCUUGAAGAACCAUCAGUUGAGGAGAAACCUGAAGAAUUAGCGGUUGAAGAGAAACCUGAAAAACCAGCAAUUGAGGAGAAACGUGAAGAACCAAUAAUUGAGAAGAAACCUAAAGAACCAGCAGUUGAGGAGAAACCUGAAGAACAAACCGUUGAAGAGAGACUUGAAGAACCAACAAUUGAAGAUGAGAAACUUGAAGAACCAACAAAUGAAGAUGAGAAACUUGAAAGGGUAACUCUCCUAGGAAAGGUGAGGAUCUAGCACUGUCACAAAGUUUGUCC